UACGUAGGGGGCAAGCGUUGUCCGGAUUUAUUGGGCGUAAAGAGCUCGUAGGUGGUUUGGUAAGUCGGAUGUGAAAUCUCCAGGCUCAACCUGGAGGGGUCAUUCGAUACUGCCAUGACUAGAGGUCGGUAGGGGAGUGUGGAAUUCCUGGUGGAGCGGUGAAAUGCGCAGAUAUCAGGAAGAACACCCGUGGCUAAGGCGGCUCUCUAGUACGGUACUGACGCUGAGACGCGAAAGCGUGGGGAGCGAACAGG
rnacentral:rRNA from 1 species